rnacentral:tRNA from 2 species
GAAACGGUAGCUCAACGGAAGAGCGCUGGCCUGCCACGCCAGAGGUUGCGGGUUCGAUUCCUGUCCGUUCA